UACGGAGGAUGCAAGCGUUAUCCGGAUUCAUUGGGUUUAAAGGGUGCGUAGGCGGGAAAAUAAGUCAGUGGUGAAAGCCUACAGCUUAACUGUAGAAUUGCCAUUGAUACUGUUAUUCUUGAGUACAGUUGAAGUGGGUGGAAUGUGUGGUGUAGCGGUGAAAUGCUUAGAUAUCACACAGAACGCCAAUUGCGAAGGCAGCUCACUAAGCUGUUACUGACGCUGAGGCACGAAAGCGUGGGGAUCAAACAGG
rnacentral:rRNA from 1 species